CAUCUACCUGGGGCCUGCAUUGCUAUCUGGUGCGCUCCUGCCUGUCUCCCAGGUGACGCCUACAUCUCCUUCAAACAGAGGCCCCCUCAGCCUCGCAGCUCAGACCCAGGGCAGGCGCUUCUCCUUGUGUUCACAGUGACACUGGAUAAUCAAAAGAAUCAGCUGCUCAAGAAGCAACUGACUCCUGGCACUGAGUGUUAUGUUUGCGAGCCUAUGGUGUCUCACAGGGGGCACUGUCACCCAUGACAGCUGAAGAUACCACAUACUGGAGUCACAGACACGGGGAAGGCAAGCUGGUACCAACCUGGAAGCUUCAUCUAUGCCAUUAGCUUUCAGAGCACUGGAAAGUGCUAUGUAUAGCACCAGCCUGACUCGGUCAUGAACCUCAUGAGCCACAGUUACAUUGGCCUGACAAGACCUGUUCAUUGGUCCAAUAGUGGCACUAACGUGAUAGCGUAACCAACUAUUUUCCAAUUGGACUUAAGUCCUGCCACACAAGCUGAAACCUACACUUAGCAUCGUCACUGCGACCAGAGCUCACCUCUGGAAAGGUCAAAGACCCUAAAGGAGAAACUACUGCUUUUACUGUUAAGUGGGCAGAAUAUUAAACUAACCAACAACUUAUCAUUAUAUUCAUAGAUUAGUGAAUCUGUCAUUUCUCAUCAGAGAAGAUUCUUUCUGAAGUAGAUGGUAACUGAUACACGGUCUCAAAAUGUAGAAAAUAUGAGCCUGAAAAAUGUGGACCCCUGAAUGGGACAUUAUAUUAUACACUCAGGCUCAGAGAUCAUUGUAAGAGAGGGGGAGGGGAGAUUUGAGAGCCACAGACAGGGAAUGACUAGAAAGAAACAGUAUCGUCUGAUCACACACGGCAGUCGAACAUGAAUUCAGUUCACGGCAGUUGUGAAUGAACAAGACCUGCAUAGACUCAAGCCAGACAGAAUCUUAACAGAAGGAGAGGAGGGGUGCAAAGCAAACUUCCAAUGCAGGGCGUGUUCACGUGUCCCAUGUUUUCAUUCUAAAGAACAAAGCCAAGACCACUAAAACAACGGAAAUAACUGGUCCCACGAACAUCCUAUUAACUGUAGAACACACAUGAAAUAACGCACAUGCUCAUCUUGUAUCAGCUACAGACAAUGAGCAAUAAAGUCAGUCUUUAUC
ensembl:processed_transcript 4930447N08Rik RIKEN cDNA 4930447N08 gene